CUUUUUUUUUUUUUUUUUUCUUUUUUUUUUGUGAGCUGUUACUUUUGCUGCUCAAAGUUUUUAAGAAAAUGUUACAUUGAUUCUGGCACUGAAAGUAAUGUCCUGUUAGUUUUCUUGUAAACUCUCGAUAUUUUUGUUUUCACAAUGAAGAGCUCGUGGAUCAAAGGUGACAAUGCAAAUAAAGCUGAUAUUGUUCAAUUUUAAAGUGUAUUACAACGCUGGUCAUAGAUGUACAAGUAUUACACAGAAUUUUAACUCUUUAUUAAUGAACAAACCUUCUGUUUACUUGUACUCAGAGGCGUAGAGAGCAAAACGAGCGCCCGAGGUAAAGGUACUUUACUGGCGUCGCCCCCCCCCCCC